GAUGAACGCUGGCGGCGUGCUUAACACAUGCAAGUCGAACGAAGCAUUUAGGACAGAUUACUUCGGUUUGAAGUUCUUUAUGACUGAGUGGCGGACGGGUGAGUAACGCGUGGGUAACCUGCCUUGUACUGGGGGAUAGCAGCUGGAAACGGCUGGUAAUACCGCAUAAGCGCACAAUGUUGCAUGACAUGGUGUGAAAAACUCCGGUGGUAUAAGAUGGACCCGCGUCUGAUUAGCUAGUUGGUGAGAUAACAGCCCACCAAGGCGACGAUCAGUAGCCGAGCUGAGAGGGUGGCCGGCCACAUUGGGACUGAGACACGGCCCAGACUCCUACGGGAGGCAGGAGUGGGGAAUAUUUCACAAUGGAGGAAACUCUGAUGCAGCGACGCCGCGUGAGUGAAGAAGUAAUUCGUUAUGUAAAGCUCUAUCAGCAGGGAAGAUAGUGACGGUACCUGACGAAGAAGCUCCGGCUAAAUACGUG
rnacentral:rRNA from 1 species